UACGUAGGGACCAAGCGUUGUUCGGAUUUACUGGGCGUAAAGGGCGCGUAGGCGGCGUGACAAGUCACUUGUGAAAUCUCCGGGCUUAACUCGGAACGGCCAAGUGAUACUGUCGUGCUAGAGUGCAGAAGGGGCAAUCGGAAUUCUUGGUGUAGCGGUGAAAUGCGUAGAUAUCAAGAGGAACACCUGAGGUGAAGACGGGUUGCUGGGCUGACACUGACGCUGGACAGCGCGAAAGCUAGGGGAGCAAACGGG
rnacentral:rRNA from 1 species